rnacentral:rRNA from 1 species
GUGGGGAAUAUUGGACAAUGGGGGGAACCCUGAUCCAGCCAUGCCGCGUGUGUGAAGAAGGCCUUUUGGUUGUAAAGCACUUUAAGCGAGGAGGAGGCUACCGAGAUUAAUACUCUUGGAUAGUGGACGUUACUCGCAGAAUAAGCACCGGCUAACUCUGUGCCAGCAGCCGCGGUAAUACGGAGGGUGCAAGCGUUCAUCGGAUUUACUGGGCGUAAAGCGCGCGUAGGUGGCCAAUUAAGUCAAAUGUGAAAUCCCCGAGCUUAACUUGGGAAUUGCAUUCGAUACUGGUUGGCUAGAGUAUGGGAGAGGAUGGUAGAAUUCCAGGUGUAGCGGUGAAAUGCGUAGAGAUCUGGAGGAAUACCGAUGGCGAAGGCAGCCAUCUGGCCUAAUACUGACACUGAGGUGCGAAAGCAUGGGGAGCAAACAGGAUUAGAAACCCGUGUAGUCC